rnacentral:misc_RNA from 1 species
GAUGAAGAACGCAGCGAAAUGCGAUAAGUAGUGUGAAUUGCAGAAUUCAGUGAAUCAUCGAAUCUUUGAACGCACAUUGCGCCCGCUAGUAUUCUGGCGGGCAUGCCUGUUCGAGCGUCAUUUCAACCAUCAAGCCCUAGGCUUGCGUUGGAGCCCUGCGGCUGCCGCAGGCUCCCAAAUCCAGUGGCGGGCUCGUCGUCGUACCGAGUGCAGUAAACAUCCUCGCUCAGGGAACGUGACGGGUUCUUGCCGUGAAACCCCCCACAUAUCAAGGUUGACCUCGGAUCAGGUAGGAAUACCCGCUGAACUUAAGCAUAUCAAUAAGCGGAGGA